UCUUAUGCAUGAGUAAAGAAAGUGGCUUCUUAAGAUGGAACUUACUCCUGGUGAAGAUGCUGUGAU
rnacentral:pre_miRNA from 1 species